rnacentral:rRNA from 1 species
UGGGGAAUCUUGCACAAUGGGCGAAAGCCUGAUGCAGCAACGCCGCGUGCGGGAAGACAGCCCUAGGGUUGUAAACCGCUUUCAGCAGGGAAGAAACUGACGGUACCUGCAGAAGAAGAUGCGGCCAACUACGUGCCAGCAGCCGCGGUGACACGUAGGCAUCAAGCGUUAUCCGGAUUUAUUGGGCGUAAAGAGCUCGUAGGCGGUUCGGUAAGUCGGGUGUGAAAACUCUGGGCUCAACCCAGAGAGGCCACUCGAUACUGCUGUGACUAGAGUGCGGUAGGGGAGCGGGGAAUUCCUGGUGUAGCGGUGAAAUGCGCAGAUAUCAGGAGGAACACCAGUGGCGAAGGCGCCGCUCUGGGCCGUAACUGACGCUGAGGAGCGAAAGCAUGGGUAGCAAACAGGAUUAGAUACCCUGGUAGUCCAUGCCGUAAACGUUGGGCACUAGGUGUGGGUCUCAACCGAACGAGAUCCGCGCCGUCG